GGAAUGCAGAAGCUGCCCUUUCGCGUGGGCGACGGGGGCGAGGGCCUCGGGGGCCGGCUUCUGACCCCGAGCAAGGCUGCGUUUGCGAACCGGGGCACGACCGAACCGGAGCACGUUGAAGCACCAGCAGAGCCAGCACUGAGCUGAACCAUAACUGCUGAAGUUGAGCUGUCAGCACGUUGCAGCCCACUGCUUCUGGGACCUCCCAGAUCAUGGAGAACCAUCUUGGCUUGCACAGAGGGGAAAAUGCUUUCCCACUGAAGCAAAAAUGAUCUAGUGCCUGGAACAGGGAAGACGCAGCCAGCGCAUGUGCGCUCGGUUCCUCAUUCUGCUCCGAGCUCUCUGCACUGACCUCUCCCCAUCGGCCACCGGAGCCAGGCAGCAGCAGUAGUCACCUGUCUUACGGGAAGAGCUUGUUCAGUAAGAGAUCCCAAGAGGAAAGAUAAGCAGCGCUACGUAGAAACGUGGCAAGAGCAGCCUGCCUUUGUGCUGGCGUAGCAGCCACUGCAGCGAGAUCUCUGGGCUUGAGCUGAUAUGAGGGUAAUAAAGUAAUAUAGAAAAUAAUAAAAAGUAUAAACAAAGAUCAAAUAUUAGAAGAGGCAGUGUCAUUAGGGAUUUCUUUCAGAGGUUUUCUUGGAUUGCUGUUGACAUUUUGCUCAUCCUCUUGAGGUAAUACUUAGUGCUUUCUGCUUUUCAAGGCUGUAGCAGUGCAGCAUUAACUGUUUGUUUAUUGUUUUGCUUUUUGGCACAGUUGAGCUCUUCAGAAAUGACUCUGUGGUAUUAAAGCUCAGCCCUGCCUUUGCUCAGGGUAUCCACCUGUAGCACUCUCUGGUGUUGGGGGUGGCAGAUAGGGCCACUGUUGGUUUGCAGGCCAGGACGUUCCCUGCGUUUGGGGUGAGAUGCCUGGGAAUGGGGUGACAAGCCUGCAAACCAGAGGAGCAUACAGUUCCCUGUGGUGGUCACAGCUUGCACAUCUCUGUGCAAGCACUCAGGUUGAUGGACUGUAUUGCAAAGUGCUUGAAAUUUUGUUGCUGGGAAAUGACAGGCAUUUUGCUUCAUGUUCUCAUUGUAUUUUUGGAAGCUUUUGCCCGAGGUCCACAUGUUUCUAUUUCUAAAGGACUGUUCUCCUAUGUGACACAUCCCGCCUGGUGGCUGGGCUGCUCUCUGCAGCUGGGCUCAGCUGCGUGGGGGCCUGGGCGAGCUGCUGCGGUGGGGCUGGGCGCACGGCGCUGUCCGGGGCUGUGCGCGUCGCUGCUGUGCUGCCGCGCCGGCAGGCGCCGGGCCAAAACGUGUGCUCGCGAGCGAUCACCCCGGCGGGGGCUCCCCUUCGCUCCGCUCACCCUGCGGCUUCAGCAGACGUUCCCUGUCCCCUGCCUGGUCCUGGAGAAGCCGUGCCCCUAAAUGAGCCGGGGGACAGGAAUGCCGAUAGAAGGGAUCUUCCAGCUCGAGUGCAGACUAGCUGCAUCUGCGUGAGAGUUACUCUUGGAAAGCAGAAGAAAAAUUGCAGCUGACUGGCUUAAAUUCAUGCCGAGUGCAAUUCCCUAGAAGCCGCCGAGCUGCCUGCGGAUGCAGUUUAUCCGUCGUAUCCCAUCGCCCCGGCCUUUCGGAUUGCUGGCCACCUCCCAGGCCGCCUGUGCUUCCUGAGGCUGUUUGCGGCGUCGGGGGACGCUGGGAAGGGGCAGCGCGGGAGCGCAGGAUGGAGCAGGGAUGGCAGGCGGCCCUGGGCAUGCUGCGCCCUCAGGGGCCUCCAUCUGCCCUGCCGCUUCCUCGCCCUUCCAAGGGCUGCGGUUCAAAGGCUGUGUCAGGGAAAAGACUGAUUUCCAUGAUGUGACGUUGGAGAGAGAGGUCUAUUUUGGAGUCGGGCUGAAUGUUGACACCCCCAAAAUGGAAAAGGCUGCAGCAGCCGGGAGCUGGACUGGGUGGGAGGCAACCUUGGGCAGUACCUGUCCUCCCUUUCCCCUCUGCAGAGCUGUUCCCAGUGCGGUUAGCAAGCGUGCAAGCCCUUGCUAGGAUUAACUUCAUUACUUCUUUUUUUUUUUUUUUUUUUUUUUUUUUUUUUAAAUCCCCCUCUGUUCUUUCUACCGGGAAAAUAGCCGCAGAGUCCCGCUCGGGCCCUUCGGGGACAGUGCUGGUGGCAGCGUCCGCAUUUUUUGGCCUCCUGCUGCCACCUGCCGCCAGCAGCCCGGGCUUCGCAGGCGAGCGGGCGCUCAGCGCUGGCUUUGCCCCCGCGCCCCCCCCGAGGAGACGGAGGCUCUUCUGCACCGCUGCCAGCAACUGUGGUUGCUCACCUCAUCAUACAGAGCUGAACUAUGAACCUUGGGUGAAAGCUGGCUGAUAACUGUUGAAAACACUGGGAAGUAAGUGUUCAAACAACAAAGUCGUGCUUUACCUCUGCAUAUCUUUUCUAGAAUCACCAAUAUUCUUACUGUGCUUGAACAAAGAUCUCUAGUGAUGUCUGAAAAAAAAGAGUUAUGCAGUGAUAUCUGCUGUCAGGAGAAGUUAGAAGAGGAAAUCCAGGACAAAUGGAACCAAACGCUUGGAAAUUCUCUGCUACAAAUUCCUUUUCAGUAGCUCACAUGCCCAGAUGGUGAUCUAGCAGACUGAAAGCAGAAUCACUGUUGUGCAGGAUGAAAGAGUCCAAGGAAUAAUUUGAAAAAAAAAAAUAAAAAAAAGAAUUAAGGGUAAAUUAUUUCUUGACCUUUUCCAGAAGAAGCUUCCAAACAGUUUGUAGAGGCAAAGCAGCACCUAAAAGGAGCACUCAGAAAAGGGCGAGUUUUACUUUUCCAGUGGAAUCCUCCCCUUUGAGAUUUCUUUUGGCCAUGCUUUUAUCAGAUUGUUGAACAAUUGUUAACGAAUAGACUUUUCUGCUCCUUGUCUCCCUUAUCCGAAAAGAGCGUUGUCCCUGCUGCCAUGUCCUUGCAUGUGAUGCCCCAAGGAAGUGUUGCAACUCAUUGGGGUCGGAUCUUCCCUUAGCUUUUGUUCAUGUAAAAACUUCAGAGAUCUUGUCUUACCCCAGUUCAGACUGAAAUUCUGGAAAAUUUGUUUCUUUUUUCUGUUUUUUUUAAUUAAAUUGUUAUUUUUUAAAUCGUUUCUAGUGAAUGUCACUUUUCCUUGCCUGCUUGCGGUGUGGGACCAGGAGGAUCUGUUCGCUCCGAACAACGUACAGUUAGCGUGGGAAGAACCUGCUGCCGGUGAAGCAGAGAAAGCAAUCAGCUUUUCCAUGCCCAGCCCCUUGGUCGCCACGGGCCGUCGUUCGACGCUCUGCGGAGCGCUAGCGCAGUGUCCUGAGCAGCUCUGUCGAAGCAGGCCAGCGCCCCGAAGGGUCUCCUUGCAGCCCCCCGCUCAAUCUGCGCAUCGUGGGGAGUAAGUAACCCUAGCAAUACGAUAGCUCGUUCAUCUCAAGGAUCUAAUUCUGCCGACAAUCAGAGAUUCGGCAGUGGCUAGAUUUGCACAAGCAUGAGCUUGGAAGAAAUUUGUGGAAAAAGGGCAGAGGUACACAUUUAUUCAUCUUAUUAAAAGCACUAAAAAUACAGAAUAAAUAUUUUAUUUGAAAUAUAUAUAUCUGUAAAAGCUUAUGCAAAACAUAA